rnacentral:rRNA from 1 species
UACGUAGGUGGCAAGCGUUGUCCGGAAUUAUUGGGCGUAAAGCGCGCGCAGGCGGUUCCUUAAGUCUGAUGUGAAAGCCCCCGGCUCAACCGGGGAGGGGCAUUGGAAACUGGGGGACUUGAGUGCAGAAGAGGAGAGCGGAAUUCCACGUGUAGCGGUGAAAUGCGUAGAGAUGUGGAGGAACACCAGUGGCGAAGGCGGCUCUCUGGUCUGUAACUGACGCUGAGGCGCGAAAGCGUGGGGAGCAAACAGG